rnacentral:pre_miRNA from 1 species
AGGGAGAGAUCGGAUCCUGGGCUGUGUCCCCGGCGCCCUGUGCUCCCGGGCCUGCGCUGUUGGAUUCGCGCUCCCGGCCGAGCAGCCCCCU